ensembl:snRNA U6 U6 spliceosomal RNA
AUGCUUGUUUUGGGAGUACAUACUGUAAAAUUAGAAUGAAAACACUAGAGGAGACUAACAUGGACCCUGAUCAAAGAUGACAGACAAAUUUGUGAAGCGUUCCUAUCUUUA